AUACAACUUUCAACAACGGAUCUCUUGGCUCUCGCAUCGAUGAAGAACGCAGCGAAAUGCGAUAAGUAAUGUGAAUUGCAGAAUUCAGUGAAUCAUCGAAUCUUUGAACGCACCUUGCGCUCCUUGGUAUUCCGAGGAGCAUGCCUUGUUUGAGUGUCAUG
rnacentral:rRNA from 1 species